CAUGCUAGACGAGUUUGAUUAUGGCUCAGAUUGAACGCUGGCGGCAGGCUUAACACAUGCAAGUCGCACGAGACACUUCGGUGUCUAGUGGCGCGACGGGUGAGUAACACGUAGGUUACGUACCUCGAGGUGGGGAAUAACUCGAGGGAAACCUGAGCUAAUACCGCGUAUGUCCGUUCGGGAUGAAAGUCGAAAGGCGCCUUGAGAUCGGCCUGCGGCCCAUUAUCUAAUCCUAGUUGGUAGGGUAACGGCCUACCAAGGGUACGAUGGGUAGCUGGUCUGAGAGGAUGAUCAGCCACACUGGAACUGAGACACGGUCCAGACUCCUACGGGAGGCAGCAGUGGGGAAUAUUGGACAAUGGGGGCAACCCUGAUCCAGCCAUGCCGCGUGUGUGAAGAAGGCCUUCGGGUUGUAAAGCACUUUUGUUGGGGAAGAAACCGGCCGGGUUAAUACCCUGGUUGAAUGACGGUACCCAAAGAAUAAGCACCGGCUAACUUCGUG
rnacentral:rRNA from 1 species